UAUUGCACAAUGGGCGGAAGCCUGAUGCAGCGACGCCGCCUGAGCGAAGGAGGAUUUCGGUAUGUAAAGCUCCAUCAGCAGGGAAGAUAAUGACGGUACCUGACUAAGAAGCACCGGCUCAAUACGUGCCAGCAGCCGCGGUAAUACGUAUGGUGCAAGCGUUAUCCGGAUUUACUGGGUGUAAAGGGAGCGCAGGCGGUGCGGCAAGUCUGAUGUGAAAGCCCGGGGCUCAACCCCGGUACUGCAUUGGAAACUGUCGUACUAGAGUGUCGGAGGGGUAAGCGGAAUUCCUAGUGUAGCGGUGAAAUGCGUAGAUAUUAGGAGGAACACCAGUGGCGAAGGCGGCUUACUGGACGAUAACUGACGCUGAGGCUCGAAAGCGUGGGGAGCAAACAGG
rnacentral:rRNA from 1 species